UCGACUCUUCUCACAUCAUUCCUCACCAAGAAAUGCAGGUUCAAGCUGAUAUUACAUAUGAGGAGCUCUUUGUGAAAAUUCUUGAUUGGACCAACAAGGGUUGCGCAAUAAGAGGAUUCCAAUGGUGAAGGCGUAGUGGCAAUACCAUACUCCGGAGGAGGUGACAUGGGAGUUGGAGAACGAAAUGUGAGAGAGUUUCUUAACCUAUUCAUUACAAAUUUAGGGGACCAAAUUUUC
rnacentral:lncRNA from 1 species